rnacentral:rRNA from 1 species
UACGUAGGGGGCGAGCGUUGUCCGGAGUACUGGGCGUAAAGCGCACGCAGGCGGUCUGCUAAGUUUGGAGUGACAGUUGGUGGCUUAACUGCCAAAGUGCUUCGAAAACUGACAGACUUGAGGGCUUCAGAGGGACACGGAAUUCCGGGUGGAGUGGUGAAAUGCGUAGAUAUUCGGAAGAACACCAGUGGCGAAGGCGACUUACUGGACACAUAUUGACGCUGAGGAACGAAAGCGCGGGAGCAACAGG